GAUGAAGAACGUAGCGAAAUGCGAUAAGUAAUGUGAAUUGCAGAAUUCAGUGAAUCAUCGAAUCUUUGAACGCACCUUGCGCCCUUUGGCUAUUCCGAAGGGCAUGCCUGUUUGAGUAUCAUGAACACCUCAACUCUCAUGGUUUGCCAUGAUGAGCUUGGACUCUGGGGGUCUUGCUGGCCUAUGGUCAGCUCCUCUCAAAUAAAUCAGCUUGCCAGUGUUUGGUGGCAUCACAGGUGUGAUAACUAUCUAGGCUUGUGGUUUUCCAUCAGGUAACCUUCAGUGAUGGAGGUUCGCUGGAGCUCAUAAAUGUCCCUCCUCAGCGAGGACAGCUUUUUGAACGUUUGAUCUCAAAUCAGGUAGGACUACCCGCUGAACUUAAGCAUAUCAAUAAGCGGAGGA
rnacentral:misc_RNA from 1 species